rnacentral:rRNA from 1 species
GAUGAACGCUGGCGGCGUGCCUAAUACAUGCAAGUCGAGCGAACGGACGAGAAGCUUGCUUCUCUGAUGUUAGCGGCGGACGGGUGAGUAACACGUGGAUAACCUACCUAUAAGACUGGGAUAACUUCGGGAAACCGUAGCUAAUACCGGAUAAUAUUUUGAACCGCAUGGUUCAAAAGUGAAAGACGGUCUUGCUGUCACUUAUAGAUGGAUCCGCGCUGCAUUAGCUAGUUGGUAAGGUAACGGCUUACCAAGGGAACGAGGCAUAGCCGACCUGAGAGGGUGUUCGGCCACACUGAAACUGAAACACGUUCCAGCCCCCUACGGGAGCAAGCAGUAGGGAAUCUUCCGCAAGGGGCGAAAGCCUGACGGGCCAACGCGCGGUAGUUGAUGAAGUUCUUCGAAUCGUAAAACUCUUUUAUUAGGGAAGAACAAAUGUGUAAUUACCGGUGCACAUCUUGACGGUACCUAAUCAGAAGCCACGGCUAACUACGUG